rnacentral:rRNA from 1 species
AACGAACGCUGGCGGCAUGCCUAACACAUGCAAGUCGAACGAGACCUUCGGGUCUAGUGGCGCACGGGUGCGUAACGCGUGGGAACCUGCCCUUAGGUUCGGAAUAACUCCCCGAAAGGGGUGCUAAUACCGGAUAAUGUCUUCGGACCAAAGAUUUAUCGCCUUUGGAUGGGCCCGCGUUGGAUUAGCUAGUUGGUAGGGUAAAAGCCUACCAAGGCGACGAUCCAUAGCUGGUCUGAGAGGAUGAUCAGCCACACUGGGACUGAGACACGGCCCAGACCCCCACGGGAGGCAGGAGGGGGGAAUAUGGGAAAAGGGGCGAAAGCCUGAUCCAGCAAUGCCGGGUGAGUGAUGAAGGCCUUAGGGUGGUAAAGCUCUUUUACCCGGGAUGAAAAUGAAAGGACCGGGAGAAUAAGCCCCGGCUAACCCCGG